AUCUUUGUGCUUGGGGAAAUGUUGUAGCCAGUGAGGUUACAACCAUGGUGCGACAAUUGCUGGUUGAAAACUUGAAUUUGAGAUCAACUGAACACAUUCUCAAUUUAAUCAAGUUCAUUUAUACUUUUAAAUAAUUUUA
rnacentral:snRNA from 1 species